CGGUAACGGAGACCCCAACAUCUGCCGUGAUGAGCGUUUCGCAGGAAGUCAGUGUUUCUACCAAGUCCUGGAAAAUGAAAGACUCGGAGGACGAAGACAUAGACAAAGUGACGAUGUUUGACCUGGUCUGCUCGAAAAUGAGAGAGAUGGUCCUGCUGCAGCGGCUGGUAGUUAUCGCACAGCUCUCCCGUGAUGUUGUCGAUAGGAAAGAAGUAGGAGGUAAGUUAGUAGAAGUAGGAGUUAGAGCUGCACAGACUGAUGUAUUAAUCACCAACUACAGAUUUAAUCCAGUUUUCCUUCAGGGGAGACGAAAAGUGAUGCCAAUCUAUUUGAUAUCACACAAGCAGUCCAAGCUGUGAGUGUAUAUUGUUUGAGUGCUUUUAUAGCUUUCACACCUUUUGUGUGUGUGUAAGACUGAGUCUGCAGGGAAUAAUGUAAUAAAAGCUGGAGGAAGGGCUGGUGAGGCUCUCAUGUUAUUAACAGCUUUGUUGCGUCCACACAGCACAUUAUGAAAAUCUCAACUUUCAGCUGAACAAGCAGUUCAAAAGGGAUCUGAUAACCGGCCUGCUGCUCAUCUAUCCAUCCUGUCUGCUGUACAUCAUUGAAUCAUCCAGGGAUUUUCUACUUUCUGUUUUAAAAGACCUCCAAGCCAUGCAGCAAAAACCAGAUGGUACCUUGCUGAAAGCUAAGAUUGUGUUCAUGGCGCACAACCCUGAGAGCAGGAUGUUUCAGCAGUGGAGCUACAAGGUGAUGGACGCAGCUCAGGUGGCUGUGGACACAGGGAUUAAACGACUCGAGGAGGAUGAGGAGAGCACAGAGACUCUGGUUUGCAGUGUCCUCUCAUCGCUGCAGAAACUAAGUGAAAACCUGCAAGUGUCUAGGAUGGUACUUCCUGGAUUGGUGUUGGAUCAGACUCCACAGAUGAUCAUCCCUCAGAAGGUUCUGGACAAACUCUUGUGUAGAGACGAACUACAGAGUCCAGCACAACAUCUGCAGAUGUACAACUCACCCUUAGACAUCAGCAUGGAGUUUGGACAAGUUAAUCCACUAAACUUCUACUCCAGUGUUUAACUGUUUGGACAAGAGGUCAGAGAACGUGGCCUUUGCUAAAACACCUCGGACAUGACUCAAGACUUCCUAAGCUUCAGUUUUAUUCAACAAUAUACUCUUGUACUGUUCAGGACUGUCCAUUUAACAUCAUCUUAGAUCAUUCAUAAUAAAAAAGCACCAAAUAUCCA
rnacentral:lncRNA from 1 species